AUGCUUCAGCCCGUGGAUGGAUUGAUUAAUGCAAGUAACCAGGAGAGAAGGGGCGUUAGCUGGGGCUAUCCAUGUCGGGUCGCUCAUGAGGAGAAGACGAAGGGAAGAGCAGCAAGGAAGCUUCAUCCUGCUCCCAAACCAAGGAAGCCACGCCCACACCAACACAUACAAACAUUUUUCCUCCCCACCCAUGCAACCUGCUCGUCUCUCGCUCAACGAGGACCGUGGUUGCCACUUGUCACGCCACUGUUUCCUAGCACCCUCAACGACCAGGGAAGCAGCCGGGUGGAGACAGGGGCAUUCUCCUUUUUAUCCGCAGCUUCCGCCUCCUGCAUUAUAGGUGCUGCUGUCGACGCUGCUCCUUCUCUUCCCCUCAGGAGGUAUGGAGAAAUGGUGAUACUGUUUGCAUAUCAAAUUGGUACUCAACUAGACAAACCCGAGGUCCAAAAAAGUGAACGCCAUAAAUCAAAAGCCAUCCAAUGGACAAGCAGCUCAUGA
rnacentral:rRNA from 1 species